GAAAUGCGAUAAGUAGUGUGAAUUGCAGAAUUCAGUGAAUCAUCGAAUCUUUGAACGCACCUUGCGCUCCUUGGUAUUCCUUGGAGCAUGCCUGUUUGAGUAUCAUGAAAUCUUCAAAGUAAAUCUUUUGUUAACUCAAUUGGUUUCUACUUUGGUAUUGGAGGUCUUUGCAGCUUCACACCUGCUCCUCUUUGUUCAUUAGCUGGAUCUCGGUGUUAUGCUUGGUUCCACUCGGCGUGAUAAGUUAUCUAUCGCUGAGGACACUGUAAAAGGUGGCCAAGGUAAAUGCAGAUGAACCGCUUCUAAUAGUCCAUUGACUUGGACAAUACUUUUAUGAUCUGAUCUCAAAUCAGGUAGGACUACCCGCUGAACUUAAGC
rnacentral:misc_RNA from 1 species